GACGAACGCUGGCGGCGUGCUUAACACAUGCAAGUCGAACGGAAAGGCCUCUUUCGGGGGGUACUCGAGUGGCGAACGGGUGAGUAACACGUGAGUAACCUGCCCUUUACUUUGGGAUAACUUCAGGAAACUGGGGCUAAUACCGGAUAGGAGCUCCUGCUGCAUGGUGGGGGUUGGAAAGUUUCGGCGGUUGGGGAUGGACUCGCGGCUUAUCAGCUUGUUGGUGGGGUAGUGGCUUACCAAGGCUUUGACGGGUAGCCGGCCUGAGAGGGUGACCGGCGACAUUGGGACUGAGAUACGGCCCAGACUCCUACGGGAGGCAGCAGUGGGGAAGAUUGCACAAUGGGUGGAAGCCUGAUGCAGCAACGCCGUGUGCGGGAUGACGGCCUUCGGGUUGGAAACCGCUUUCGCUCAUGACGAAGCUUUGUGUGACGGUAGUGGGUAAAGAAGCACCGGCUAACUACGUG
rnacentral:rRNA from 1 species